CGCGCCGUUCUUUGGAAAGGCGAUGCCUCAUAAUCGUGGUGUCGUGGGUUCGAGUCCCACCGCCGCCACCA
rnacentral:tRNA from 1 species